UGCCGGGCCGGGGGGCGGCGGAGGGCUGAGGGCCCGGCAGCGAGCGGGGAGGAGCAGCUGAGCAGUGCAGCUCUGUAGGAUGCUUCGCCAUGCCCUAGGAAAAACCUUCCGCUUCCUGGGCUACACGGUGCAGUAUGGCUGCAUAGCACACUGUGCCUUUGAGUACCUCGGAGGGAUUGUUGUGUGUUCUGGACCUUCAAUGGAACCAACCAUUCAAAACUCUGAUAUUGUCUUUUCGGAGAGCCUCAGCCGCCACUUUUAUUGCAUUCGAAAAGGAGAUAUUGUAAUUGUGAAAAGCCCAAAUGACCCCAAAUCAAAUAUCUGUAAAAGAGUAAUUGGCUUGGAAGGGGAUAAAGUCUGCACAAGCAACCCUUCAGAUUUCCUUAAGAGUCACAGCUAUAAUGAGAAGAAUGAGCAUGUGGCAAAGUCCUGUGCUGUGAAGGUGGAGAAUUUUAUGGAACACUCUUUACAGGCAGCUACAGUGUGUGACCCAUAAAUCCUUUAAGAGUUUAGCUUCCAUAGAGGCAGCCACCUUCACCAGGGAGCCUCCAGAUGGCAGCCUUUAUAAGAACAACAUUUAUGAUAAAGCUACAGAAACAGUGCCUGGAGCAACUGGAUCAUUAAAAAAAAGUAUUUGUUAAGCAUUAUUCAGUCUUGGUUCUGAAUUAAUAAAUAAAGGAUUAAGGAGUAGCUAUGUAAGACUUUAAAGUAUAGAGUGAUAAAACAAACUCCUGCAUUUCUAUGGUGUAUAUUUUAUCCUAACUAGAUGCAAUUUACUUAAAUAAGGCAAUUUAAUCAGUAUUUAGUAAAUUUGUCAUUUGAUAUUGUAGAAUCUUUCAUCAUAUUUCACUUUAAUCAAGAAAGGUAACACCUGUGGUUUAUUCACAAAAGCUGCUUUUGUUAAAUGAACACCCGCAGGCCAUGAAGCAAUUACAUUUGUUGCUUGUACCAAAGUAGGAGCCACUUAAAGAGACCUUAGUGGGGAUAGAUGAGAACUUGCAGACUUUAUUCUUUUGUCCAGCACUGAGAUUAGUUCUUAUCAUAGCUCAAGAAGGAAGCCUCUGAACUGAAAAGAAAAGAUGGGAAUGAUUUAAAGUUCUUCUUAAGUUUGAAACUUUGAUAUUGCUGGAGGUGAUGUGAAUACCUGUGACCUUACCAAAGUUCAAACAUCUACUCCCAGCUGAUUGUACAUGCUGAUGUUUUUCGAGAUUUAUAAGUCCAUUAAAAUCACUAGCAAAAGCUCUCUCAAAACAAAAAGCCAAACCAAAGAAGCCUGUUUUCAUUUUGUUGGGUUUGGGGUUUUUGUUGAGGCAGAUAAUUUAGUCUGUUAGCUUAAUUUGCAAUACAUUAAUUUCCUAAUAUGUCAGUUAAUGCAGCACAGGGCUCUUAUCUCUUGGGUUUGAAGAUAAUUGAGUAAUCAAAGAAAAAAGUUUAGCAUCAUGUGAAGAGACCAAAAGAAUACAAUUAUUUGAUUCCCCCU